CAAACUGCACAAGCACCCACGCAAGUAAGCCCACGGGGGAGGCAGCCGCGGCGGCCGGCGCCGGUGGAGACGCGGAGUGCGAGAAGGGCGGCGAGGAGGGGAAGAAAGACCGUGCGGGGAAGCUGACCGCGGAGGCGGAUAGGCUGCAUCGCCCUAGCACCACAUCCCGCACCGCGGCAUCCAGACCAUCGUCCGCUGUCCGCGUCGUCCUCCCCGGUGAGCUCAGGAAGCACGCCGUCUCCGUGGGCACCAAGCUCUACUUGUUCUCUGCUGCUUGUAGAGUUUUUGCUGCUACUCAUGUUCUACCACCAGACUGGUAUGAAUCUUUGAUAGCAUGCAUCUUAGUUAUUGCAUCCUGUAUCAAUGUCCUCUCUCUAGGUUGUUUUCUUGAGCAGGAUAUCCCAAGGGAAAUGACAUCGCUCAAACAAUUCUCAGUUCUGUUUCUUGUACUGUCAUCAUAGGUGUUUGUGUGCAGCCACAUUGUUGUAUCGGUUAUCUCCCAGAUUUUGUCAGGAAGAGCAUCCUCCGAGUACUUGUGUAGAUCUAGUGAACCUGUGAACAUAUCAUUUGUUGGACUCUUUCCUGUAAACAUCUCAAGCAGCAGUAUUCCGAGGCUAUAAACAUCACCAAGAGUUGUGACAGAAGAUCCUUCACUAUACUCUAUGAUUGUGCAAAAGAAAAAAAAGCAUCAAUCAGCAUGUCAUAUUUAUACAAGGGCUAGGAAUAAUGAACAAAUGACAGAAUACAUCGACACUUACCAGGAGCAAUAUAUCCAAUGGAGCCUCUUAUUCCAAUUGUGCUAUUGGAAUUUUGCAGAGUUCUACUUGCACUUUCUGUAAGGAUUCUAGAUAUGCCAAAAUCUCCAACUCGGAUACUCAUGUCUUCUGCAAGAAGAAUAUUGCUUGGCUUGAGAUCGCAAUGGACGAUUGGCGGUUGACAGUGAUUAUGAAGAUAGUCUAAAGCAUCUAUGAUAUCGACAGCAAUAUCCAACCUUUGUGCUAGGUUGAGAGUAUUGUUCAUUGUGAGCAUAUCAGACCUUUUAUGGAGCCAAGAAUGCAAGCUACCAUUCGGCAUGAACUCAAAAAGCAAUGCCUUGAAGUCUUGCCCUUGUUUGUUGAUGCUUGAGCAGCAGGUGAUGAUCUUUAUGAGACAUCGAUGGCGCACCCUUCUCAAUGCCUCACAUUCAGCUAUGAAACUUUUAGUAGAGCCAGAUUGUUCAAGGUUUAGAACUUUCACAGCCACAAUAGUUCCCUCACCCGGCAAAGCACAUUUAUAGACUGCCCCGAAGCUUCCUUUACCAAGCAAAUUUGCUUCUGAGAAUCCAUUGGUUCCAUUUUCUAAUUCAUGAAUCUAUCUUGCAUGGGGCUAAAUGAAGCGGUGGUAUUCCUCCACAAAGGUUGUUAUUUCCGGUGAUAGAAAGGCCAUGAAUAUUUCCAAUGGCUUCAGGAAUAGUACCAGACAACUCAUUCAUGGACAAGUUGAGUGCAGCCAGACCCUUGUUUAGAGUUCGGGGUAUGCUUCCAUUGAAUAAGUUAUUGUCCAACCAAAGUUCUUGCAGGACUGUGCACUCCCCAAUACUUUCAGGUAUCUCUCCAGACAGUUGGUUUCCUGAUAGAACCAUGAAAUUAAGGUUCCCCAAUUUACCAACUUCAGAGGGGAGGGGUCCAGAUAGUGUAUUAUAAGCCAAAUUUAUGUAACUAAAAGAAAGGGGUAGUUUGAAAAUUUCUCUAGAAAUUGAA